rnacentral:rRNA from 1 species
UAGGGAAUCUUAGACAAUGGGGGAAACCCUGAUCUAGCCAUGCCGCGUGUGUGACGAAGGCCUUAGGGUCGUAAAGCACUUUCGCCAGGGAUGAUAAUGACAGUACCUGGUAAAGAAACCCCGGCUAACUCCGUGCCAGCAGCCGCGGUAAUACGGAGGGGGUUAGCGUUGUUCGGAAUUACUGGGCGUAAAGCGCACGUAGGCGGACUAUUAAGUCGGGGGUGAAAUCCCGGGGCUCAACCCCGGAACUGCCUUCGAUACUGGUAGUCUAGAGUUCGAGAGAGGUGAGUGGAAUUCCGAGUGUAGAGGUGAAAUUCGUAGAUAUUCGGAGGAACACCAGUGGCGAAGGCGGCUCACUGGCUCGAUACUGACGCUGAGGUGCGAAAGUGUGGGGAGCAAACAGGAUUAGAUACCCCCGUAGUCC